GGAAGAACGCAGCGAAAUGCGAUAAGUAGUGUGAAUUGCAGAAUUCAGUGAAUCAUCGAAUCUUUGAACGCAUCUUGCGCUCCUUGGUAUUCUGAGGAGCAUGCCUGUUUGAGUGUCAUUAAAUUCUCAACUACACUGACUUUGAAUUGGUGUGGCUUGGAUUUGGGGGGAAAAUUGUUGUGGGCUUUUUGUAUAGUCUGCUCCCCUGAAAUUGAUUAGCGGUACCUUUGUGGAACUGUCUACAGGUGUGAUAAUUAUCUACAUCUUAGACAUCUGCUGGAAUGCUGCUUUCUAAACCUUACUUGUAUUGACAAUCUUGACCUCAAAUCAGGUAGGACUACCCGCUGAACUUAAGCAUAUCAAUAAGCGGAGGA
rnacentral:misc_RNA from 1 species